AACGCACCUUGCGCUCCUUGGUAUUCCGAGGAGCAUGCCUGUUUGAGUGUCAUUAAAUUCUCAACUCCGAUCGAUUUGUUUCGACCUCGGAGCUUGGACUUUGGAGCGUGCUGGCGUCGGUCGGCUCCUCUCAAAUGCAUCAGCGGAAUCUAACGUUUCGGACGUUCAGUGUGAUAAUCACGUUGCGCUGUCAACCGAUCCUGAAAGGCCCGCUCAUAAUGGUCUUCGGACAACUUCAUAUCAAAUUUGACCUCAAAUCAGGUAGGACUACCCGCUGAACUUAA
rnacentral:misc_RNA from 1 species